GCCUAACCAUAACACAACAAUAAAAUCACAUAUUGUUCGCCAAAUAACUACGAGUAAAAACUUAAAAUUUAAAAGACUUGACGGUACCCCACAACAACCUAGAGGAGCCUGUUCAGUAACCGAUACUCCACGAUUAAUCCAACCUUCCCUAGCCUACCAGUCUAUAUACCGCCGUCGCCAGCCUACCUUAUGAAAGAAACAAAGUAAGCCAAACAGCCACACACUAAUACGACAGGUCGAGGUGUAACUCAUGGGGAGGACUAGAAUGGGCUACAUUAUCUAAUUCAGAUAACACGGAUAAACUAUGAAACAAGAAACUAAAGGCGGAUUUAGCAGUACACUAUGAACAAUAAUACCUAGUCGAAAUUAACGCAAUGGGGUGCGUACACACCGCCCGUCAUCCCUGUCAACUUGACCAAAACAUUCAUAAACACAAACACUAAACCUAAAGCAGGGCAAGUCGUAACACGGUAAGCGUACUGGAAAGUGCGCUUAGAAA
rnacentral:rRNA from 1 species